rnacentral:rRNA from 1 species
CCCCUUAGACACUCUAGGCGGCACGCGCGCUACAAUGGGUGGAAGAACGUGUUACUGCCUCCGAAAGGAGGGGUGAAUCACGAAUUCUUGCCCGUGAAUGGGAUAGUUUGUUGCAAUUUUCGGACUUGAACUAGGAAUCCCUUGUAAACAUGCUCAAGAAUAGCGUGUUGAAUACGUCCCUGCCGUUUGUACACACCGCCCGUCGUUUCUUCCGACUGAUACUCAUUGUGAGUUGCAAGGACCCUUUAUUGGGAAAUUGCUGCAAAUGCUUUGUAUUGGAGGAAGAAAAAGUCGUAACA